rnacentral:rRNA from 1 species
UACAGAGGUCCCAAGCGUUGUUCGGAUUCAUUGGGCGUAAAGGGUGCGUAGGUGGCGGGGUAAGUCGGAUGUGAAAUCUCGGGGCUCAACCUCGAAACUGCAUUCGAUACUGCCUUGCUUGAGUACUGGAGAGGAGAUCGGAAUUUACGGUGUAGCGGUGAAAUGCGUAGAUAUCGUGAGGAAGACCAGUGGCGAAGGCGGGUCUCUGGGCAGUUACUGACGCUGAGGCGCGAAAGCGAGGGGAGCAAACAGG